CGGGUGAGUAACACGUAGGCAACCUGCCCUCAAGCUUGGGACAACUACCGGAAACGGUAGCUAAUACCGAAUACUUGCUUUCUUCGCCUGAAGGGAGCUGGAAAGACGGAGCAAUCUGUCACUUGAGGAUGGGCCUGCGGCGCAUUAGCUAGUUGGUGAGGUAACGGCUCACCAAGGCGACGAUGCGUAGCCGACCUGAGAGGGUGAUCGGCCACACUGGGACUGAGACACGGCCCAGACUCCUACGGGAGGCAGCAGUAGGGAAUCUUCCGCAAUGGGCGAAAGCCUGACGGAGCAAUGCCGCGUGAGUGAUGAAGGUUUUCGGAUCGUAAAGCUCUGUUGCCAGGGAAGAACGUCCUUGAGAGUAACUGCUCAAGGAGUGACGGUACCUGAGAAGAAAGCCCCGGCUAACUACGUGCCAGCAGCCGCGGUAAUACGUAGGGGGCAAGCGUUGUCCGGAAUUAUUGGGCGUAAAGCGCGCGCAGGCGGUCA
rnacentral:rRNA from 1 species